rnacentral:lncRNA from 1 species
ACAACGCACAAAAUAUAGAGAAAAAGGACAAAUAUCCCAUUUUUUUAGUUUCAUCUCCAUAGCCGCACCCAUCUCUAUAUACUCAAAAAAUUUCCUCGACGCACACACUCUCAUAUACUACACCUUACUGAUUCACACUCUCAUGCAUAGAACACCCGACCAGAAAACACAAUUAGGUAGUUGAGAGAAAGAGCAAAAAUGGACUGAAUAUAGGAGGGAAUCGAUCAAAAAGUGAAUGGGUGAGAGAGAUCAGAGAGAGAUAGUGAGAAUUGAGAGAGAGGAAGGAAGAUCGGUGCUAAUUGACUAUUUUCGGCGAGAAAAUCCUCGGAAACCCAUCGUAUGAGCUAUCGGAAAAUGCUCCAAUUUAUGUUUUGCUGCUGUUCUAGCAAAACCUCUGGGAAAUAACAUCACUAGCUCCACUCAUCUCCAAAUCCAACCCAAAAUUGCGUUGCUGUUCAUAUUCCGUGUGAAUUUGCAUAUCGCUAUUUUGGGUCACUUGUUUCUUUGUGGGUUUGUAGUUUUGGGUUGUAUAUUGACGUCUGUUUGUGGGUUACCAUUUUGGUCAAAUUUUCAGUUUAGAUACCGAGUUGGGUUUUGUCCGUUGAGGUCGAUUUGAGACUCCAGUUGCAGUUUUAGUCGGAAAGAGCAAUUUAAUUGAAAGAAACAUUAAGGUUCAUUUAUCCUCUCAUUCUUUACUAAUUUUUAAAUUAUUGAUGCUUCGUGAAGUGAAUUCAUAAUGUGGGCAUCUUGCUUUAUCUGAUUUGGUUGUGUCUGAACCGUGAAUGAUGGUGGAUAUUGGUUGAUUGGUCACUUUAUUUGGAUAAUUGAAUGACAUCAACUUAAAUUGAGAAUUUGGGUUGGGAAUUUAAAUAUUGAUUUGGUGAAUGUUGAUUAUUUUUGUUAAUUGUUGAACACUCUAGUAUUAUAUGUUAAGCCGUUAAACAAGUAGGCAAACGAUAAGUUGGGGUAGGCAAAACAUAGGAAUUGUGAUUGUUAAAUGUUUGAGUGUGGGUGUGAAUGAUUCUUUCUACUUUUCGCGCAUUGAAAAAUAUACUCAUUUAGCCGGGGAAUACCCCGAAGUCAUUUGUAUUUGUUCACCGGGGAAUGAUCCGAUGUACUGUGUUGGCGAAAGACGUUCGUAAUGAAGGCCCGAUGCAUCGGGUAAAGAAUUAGAGUUUAGUCUAGGAUUAAUUUAGAAUGGGAUUUAUAUUUCCAUAUUUUUCUAUUGUUUGGACUGUAUAACUUGGACUGAACACUAAAUUUUGGAUUGUUUUGUUUUGGUCUACUUGAUUGAUUGUUGUGCAUGCUCUGUGUGGUUUAUACAUUCAUAGUGUUAAAUUAGCUGAUAUGCUCCACCAAGAGACCGUGGUCGAACCACGGGAUCAAGGGGUGCCUAACACCUUCCCCUCGGUCAACAGAAUUCCUUAGAUGGAAUCUCUAUUCGCAAACCAGUCUUAAAGAGUCAAAUUGUUUUGAAAAGGAUUUUUCAAAGGUGACUUGGCACACCCGAUUAUGCCAAGUGGCAAAUCUGAGUUUUGAAUGUAAAAAUACUCUUUUUCAAAAGAAUUAUCCUCAUUUUGUCACUUUAAUAAUAAAAACCCUUUCGACCGUUAAAAUGAAUCUUUUUGGUUAAAAAAAGGGGUGUGAUAGCUCUAGCGACUUUGCUGGGGAAUUUUUCAGAAUUUGAGCUUAUUUUUUGGAGUUAUAUCGGCUUUGUUUGACAUUAUGGUGUAUAAACAUUGUUUCUGUUAUCGUUGUGUUAUUGUUUUAUCACUGUUGUGUGCUUACGUACUCUUUGUUUACAGUUUUUACUUAUGUGUUACUGCUUUAUAUCUGACAUUAUUUGAAUAACCCGAGUCAAUUCUUUCUGCAACAAGUCCUGGAGUGCACGUCCUCUAGUUGAAGCUUGCAGUGAAGUGCAAAGGAACACCAUAUCACACACCAAGAACUAGCCAUACACUAUACUUCAUAGGCACCUUUUGUCUUCCACUCAUUAAGGACUUUUGGCAUAUUUCACUUAUGUUUGUAAUAAGUUUAUAAAUAGACUAGUUUUUGGUCUUUAGUUCUUUAGUUGUUUACUGAUAUUUAAAGUUGUAACACUGGAACCACACUCUCUCUAGUGUGAGGAGUGUACCACCUUAGUUUAAGGCUUGAAAAAGCCACCAAAUCCGAAAUAAGGGUGAUGCUAGGGUGAAAUCGCUAGUAUUGCUAUUGUUAGAAACCUAGGUGCUGGAGUGGUUCAUGCUCUCUUGUGUCAUUGUAAGAGUGUUGGUGUUACCUAUUACAAGUAUUAAGGGUCUUAGUGUAUGGCAUACACUUAGGUUCAUAGUUCUUGUGAGAGUUGAUGUCUCACUUCCUAUCCUUACACUUCUUGUAAUCGUGUUUGUGUUCUUGUUCUAGUAAAGCCGUGUAUUAUUGUUAUCUUUUUGUUGUUGUCUUAUCAUCUCGUGUUCAUCUUGUUGUUGGCUAUUUUUGGUGUAAAAUACACCUUGUAUCAUCUCGUUCUUAUGGUAUUAUUGUUGGCCGAAACUUGGUCUCCUUUUGGUCCUCGGUUUGUCUUGUGUUUUAUGUAUUGUUUUCGUGUUGUGAGUUAAUUCCGUUAUCAUUUUCAAAAUGGUUUGACUCUGUAAAACUGGUUUGCGAAUAGAGAUUCCGGUUAAGAGAAUUUGUUGACCGAGGGGAAGAUGUUAGACACCCCUCGAUCCCGUGGUUCGACCAUGAUCGCUUGGUGGAGCGUAUCGGCUAAAUUGACAUCACAAAUGUAUAAACCCACACAAAACAUGUAC